rnacentral:lncRNA from 1 species
CAACCAAGUCUAUUUUGUCUCAGCUGUCGUAAGCCAGGACACUGUUUUAGAGAUAUUCCACUUCCGAGAUCGUUGUUUAAAGUGUGGGGAGACAAACCAUUUAUCCGAAGGUUGCCCAAUGCCCCGACUCUUCAAGUUGUCGCAGCUUCAGCACAACGUGGCCAAAUCCAGAUCAGGCACAAUGGAAAAGCAAAGGAUCCGAAUCGACACUUGAAUGUGCAGCCUCCCCCUCAACGGAUUAUCGUUAAGGGUACCACCACAGGUCACAUUGUUCCACAACUGCUUCAAACCUAUAGCACCAGCACCAGCAGGGUAAGCAAUGCCAGGAAAAAAACAACUCACUACAACUACAAAGAGACAGUUCAUUCCUUCAACAGCACCCACAACAAUUAUCUCCAGCACCAGGUCACAAGACUGCCGCCAACUCUAGGAAUGCACCUCGCAUUGCUCCAAUCCGGAAAUCCAGCACCUGGCGACACCCUGAGCAAGAAGAUCUUACCUGCUACAGCUGUCAAGAGGGUCGUCAUUCUUCCUUCAAAGAUUAACACGCAGAGCAACGUUUCCGGUGAAACUCCAGCUAGUAGGAACUGA